rnacentral:rRNA from 1 species
AUUGAACGCUGGCGGCAUGCUUCACACAUGCAAGUCGAACGGUAACAGGGUGCUUGCACCGCUGACGAGUGGCGAACGGGUGAGUAAUGCGUCGGAACGUGCCGAGUAGUGGGGGAUAACGCAGCGAAAGUUGUGCUAAUACCGCAUACGUACUGAGGUAGAAAGUGGGGGACCUUCGGGCCUCACGCUAUUCGAGCGGCCGACGUCUGAUUAGCUAGUAGGUGAGGUAAAGGCUCACCUAGGCGACGAUCAGUAGCGGGUCUGAGAGGAUGUUCCGCCACACUGGGACUGAGACACGGCCCAGACUCCUACGGGAGGCAGCAGUGGGGAAUUUUGGACAAUGGGCGAAAGCCUGAUCCAGCCAUGCCGCGUGUCUGAAGAAGGCCUUCGGGUUGUAAAGGACUUUUGUCAGGGAGGAAAUCCCUAGUGCUAAUAACACUGGGGGAUGACAGUACCUGAAGAAUAAGCACCGGCUAACUACGUGCCAGCCGCCGCUGUAA